AAGAUGCUUAGGUGUUCUGCUGUUGCAUUUGACACCUCAAUGACAAAUUUUUUGUGUUAACCACAAAAUGCAUGCAUGUACACAGGAAGUUACAUAGAGACAGCCUCUGUCCUCUUUUAGACACCUAUGGUUGUUGUUUAUCAAUAUGUGCACAGAUUUUUUGUUACUUUAAAUCUGAUUGUGGUUUUUUUAAUGCAAAGAUAUGUUAUGGUGCUUCUUAUUUAAAAUUUGAGGCCGACUUUUUUCCAUUCCCUGUGCUUUCUCUGCUGUAGGAAAUUGAUCUCUUGAGUCUGUCAGGCAGCUAUGACAGCGCUGCGAGCCACGGAGUCUUGUUACCAUUCACAGGUGCGGCUCGCUGACAAGCUGAUGAUGACAGCCGAGCUGAGUCGAGCCGAGCCGAGCUGAGCUGAGCCAAGGCUGUCGACAGGCCUUGGCUGUGACACACAGGGAAAGGAGGAUGAAUGAGGCCCUCAGAGAAACCUUCAGUGCGACGGGCAAGAGGGAGGGGAUGCUGCAAAAAAUGAUUCAAGCCAGCAAUCUGUUAAAUAUUGUUGACAUCUUCAAACAAGCAUUUAUUAUAUAUCAUCUGGUGAGAUAACUUCUCUCACUCUACAAAGGAGGUAAUUCAUGGAACACAACAGUAGCUGCUUUGCACUGACUGAAAUCUGCAUGAAAUUACUACACAUACCCGAUCACCGAGUCGGAUAACAUAAAUGUCCCUUUUUGGCACAGGGCACAGCCAAUAAAAUCACCAUGCCUA